UACAGAGGUGGCAAGCGUUGUUCGGAAUUACUGGGCGUAAAGGGCGCGUAGGCGGCCCGCUAAGUCGAACGUGAAAUCCCCGAGCUCAACUCGGGAACUGCGUCCGAUACUGGUGGGCUUGAAUCCGGGAGAGGGAUGCGGAAUUCCAGGUGUAGCGGUGAAAUGCGUAGAUAUCUGGAGGAACACCGGUGGCGAAGGCGGCAUCCUGGACCGGCAUUGACGCUGAGGCGCGAAAGCCAGGGGAGCAAACGGG
rnacentral:rRNA from 1 species